UUUCAAAGGCGAAGUGUACGGCAUGUGUGAUAGGUAGUCACAACUCCCAGAAAUCUAACACCGUAAGGUUCAUAGCCAAAUUUUAGUUUUUUUCAAUUUACUUAUAUAGAGUGUUCCGUGCAACUACAUUUCUAGAACUUGCAUUGUUUCUUUAUUGUUGAUUGAUCUUUGUCAUAUACACACUGAGGCAAAAGUGCUUGGUCCUGUGAGCCUUUUGAAGCCUACCCUGAUUCUAAUUGAAAUUUAUCCUUUUUGAAAGCCAAAUUGAACCGGUAUGUUUAGAUCUUUUUGUUCGGUGACAAACUACAU
rnacentral:lncRNA from 1 species